rfam:Oidiodendron maius Zn unplaced genomic scaffold scaffold_2, whole genome shotgun sequence.
GACACCUUGCCAGAGUGGUUAAUGGGUAUGACUCGAAUAUAUUCGAUCUUAUCAUAUGGCUUCGGCCGGUACGUUCCAACUCUUAUCAUAUUUGUGACUUCAGCUAACAUAACAUAGCGUAGGUUCGAACCCUACAGGUGUCG